rnacentral:lncRNA from 10 species
GGGAAAAUUACCAAGCCAGAAGCAAAGUCAAGUGUAGCCGUCUUCAGAUUAAACAAAAUCAGCUACAAAUCUAAAUUGAUUGGAAGCUUGUUCAGGAAGUCUCCCAAAUCAACCACUUGGACACUUUAUGCCUGUAGGUAACAACACCUGAAGGCUAACGUUGACUGAGGAGACCUCAGCGUGAGCUCUGGAAGGCUUGGACAUGCAUCUCUGGUAAACAUUUCAGUUCCCUCGGGCAAAGUGAAGUUUAUGAAUCAUUGAAGAUUCACAUGAAGUUGUAAGAAAUCUUGCAGGGAGAUCCCCUCCCACCGCAGGAGUAGUGUCUUGACAAAGCCAUAAUGCAGUCUCCUGGCCAGGAUGUUGGCAUCGACCCGGUCCAGACAGGGAACAUCUGCCACCAGAAGGGUCCCGCCUGCUGCCUUUCACAGCCAAAUCCACUUCGCUCCCACCCCAGUGGCUCCUUAGCCCUUGGCAGCCACUGAUCUAUUCUCCACAUCUAUAAUCUUGUCAUCUCAAGAAUGUCAUGAAAAUGAAUCAUACAGAAUGUUAACUUUUGCGAUUGGUUUUCUUGACUCAGCAUGAUUCUCUGCACAUUCACUCGGAUUCUUGAGUGUGUCAAUAUUUUGCUCCUGUUUAUUACUGAGUAGUAUACAAUAGAUAUUUAUAUUUAUAACCCAAAAAUGUUUCAUCUUAAUGCCACAUAAGACGAUGGAGACAGCAACAUCACACUAUUUACCCGAAGUUGGCAGCAAAACCUACAUCUCCUGCACGCUUCUGUCCAAGGUAAUUUCUUUGUGCUCUCUAAUCUCCUUUAUCUAAGAGCCAGGUUAUUGGAGAAUGAAUGCCAACAGCCCUGCUAUUUCUGUUUUGCAACCUGCCACCUCUUUGCCAGGGUCUAUGAGCACAAUGCCAGCAUGAAUGGUGAGGAAUGUGAGGUGGGUGAGGAAAGGCAAAUGUCAGGAGGAAAAUGCACAUCUUGAAAGAGGAUCUUGCGAGGGCUCCCCAGGUGGCUCGCCGAAUGCCUGUUACAAAGGCCAGACAGGAAGCUGUGCCGGUUCUCAGAUCACGGGCGUCCUGGUGCAGUCGGGGCUGAUUGUCAGGAGGUGGAUUUGAGUGCAAGCUCCACGGCAUGCUCUAAGACAUCAUGUACCUAUUGUAACAAUUCUCAAGGCACUUCGGAAAAACACCUGACUUGCAACUCCCAAUCGUCCUAUGAGAAAGAGUACGAAGUAGCUUUUCUUAUUUUAAAGGUGAUAAAAAUUAGUCAGUACAUUUCCUUGUUUGCGUGAGGAAGGAAGACGUGGGAUUACAUAGACAAUGAUGCAGAUAAAUCUUCUGAUAUUUAGCUCAAUAUUUAUUUUUCCAUUACAACUACUUGCUUGCCAAAAUGUCAUCGUCUAGAGUAUCCUGACACUAAAUAAUUGUCUUUUCUAUGGAAAAUCAGAGAGCAAUGACCAGAUGUGAAAUUUUAAAUUGAAAAGAAGCAAAGAAACAUAGAGUUAUUUGAAGCUGAAAAGGAGAGAGCUAUAAGAAAAAAUAACCAAUUAAAUGUAAACACUCAAAUUUGUCUCCAUGAGUUUAGGUACCCUCCCCUUUUUUUGUGAGUUUUCUCACUACAAUAUUCCAGUGCCUAUCACAGUACGUAGUCAGGUAUGUGGGAG